rnacentral:sRNA from 1 species
CGAUAUUCCCGUUUACCGAAUCAGCCAAAAUGCUGCUGGACUUUUUCUGGUUUGCUCAAUGUUUGCCAAAGAGAAAGAUAGGCGCCUCAACGUUCAACCAAAACUCCCCCAAAGAUCGAAGAUGAAGGAAAAGGGCGAAACAAGAACAAAAGAAGAAGAAAAGAAUAAAGAAAAGAAAAGCAGGAAGAUGCCACUAGUUCCCAUUUACCUCCAGCAACUCUAACGCUUCGCUUCAACCAUCACAAAUACCCCAAUGCUCGGCACGCCGUCCGCUACAACAUACACCACAUACGGACCAGGCGGUGCAAUAUUAUUAUCCGGCGGCAUAGUAACCAGGAUUGUCUGACUCUUGCUCUGAGGCUGAUAGCCGACAUAAUCAAGGUAUAGCAUCCGAUGGCCCAUGUGCAGCGAGUGGGUGACGAACCCACCAUGGUAAAGCACUACACGCAGGUCAUUGGGUUCGGUAUGGAGCUUGAAGCCCACCGUGAAUGGCUCGCUGUCCACGAGGAGGUGUUUGUUGGGUAAUUCAACAUCGUAUGGUCGAAAUUUAUCUCUCCCAUCUAGGAGGUAGUGAGCGCGACUGAAUGGUACAUUCGUGCGAUUUCUGUCUUUCCUCCGAUACUCCAUCGGCGACCCAAGGGAGCUUCUGGGUCAUAGAUCCACGCAUCAAGGGACGGGUCUUUUGCGAUUCCAAAUCCUUGCGCACCACGGUUGCAACCAUUGAGCCAGAUUAGUUUUCCAUCAGGGAGCAUCAUUCCUUCUACCAUAACUCUACCGUCGGGCAUCAGCUCCAGUUCCCACUGUGGAUCCUUAGAUAAUGGCUUAAUACGCCCACAACUUGGAUCGGUUGGACUUGCGAUUCCCACAAAUGCCCCUCCCCCACAUAUUAUUAUCUCAUCGUCCCAUCCAUUUGCGGCUCUCAGAGGGAGAAGGACGCUCCCUCCAGUGUUUGGAUAGCUUCGAUAAUCACCAGGUAAAUCUGGCAGUUUCUUAACCGUCUUCUGACCAUGAGCAUCGAAAAUUUCAGCUGACCGCGCAACAAACACGAAAACGGUGCCGUCCUUUAAAAGGUGGAGGAAUGGAUACAUGUAGUAGGGUUGAUUUUCUUCAAGGAUAGGAAAUAAGACGCUAUGGCCAAAGGGAAUUCCAUCCUUAUUGAGUAACUCAUAUGUCGGGUUGUUAUUCGCUAUCACGGAAGGAUUGAGCCCGUUGAGGCUGCCAGACACAACGAAAACUGUUCCGUCGCGAAGGAUUUGAGCACUUGCAUACCACCUGUUGGUCGAGAGUUUGUUACCCGGCUCAUCCCAUGAUUUUCCAUCCCAAGUGUUAGUAUCCAAAGGUCGCGUUAGAUAUCGAAGUGCUCGGAAUCCAUCACCAACUGUAGGGUCCAUUGGCAACGGAGAAUUUCCACCAAUGCUAAUUAGCCGCCCGUCUUCUAGGAAUGCCCCACCCGAGCAAAAAGCAUUUGUCUAUAUUAUGACAUUAAUUCUGAGAGAAUUAAGAAAUAAAGACAUGACAUGGUCUCACCUCAUAACGUAGUGGCGCAACCAUAUUAGUAGACGGGUCAUAUUCAGACGAAUAUGCAUACUGGCCGUUGUCCAGUAUUAGUUGGGUAUAGUUUUCGACCUUGUCUAUGAAUACAACCCGACCAUUGGCUAGAAGUGCGGCAGACAUUGCUGGAACCCCGGAUUGGCCAACAACUUUAAAAGUUCCGUGUAUCGUGUCCGGCGCAUGGGUGUUGGGACUAAGAAUCUCGAAAAGGUUACCUGACUCACAUUCCCCUGACUGACAGCCAGGACCACAAUGAGAUGAGGUCCUCCCACAAAACUUAGAAGAAGCGUCAGCCCGCAUUCGAAUCAUAAAUUGUCAGCUAAAAGUGGAACACCUACCCCGUAUGCCGAGCAGCAUGAUCCCCCAGGCCAGUCACCACAUAUGGUAUCGCCGUUUUCUGGACCGCAAAGGCCAUCAAUGGUUUCCUUGAGAUCUAAUUUUGGCUUCUCCUCCUGUUUUUGCCUCAGUGUCAUACGAUGAACUUUAUUGGCCGACAAAUUUGAUGGAUUCAUAAGGGUUUGGGGAGCCCCAGGUGAGACGCUGCUAUUGGCACCCAUAUUGGUAUGUUCACUUCCACAUUGCAAGUUGCUGCAGCACCAAUUGUCAGUUAAUCGGAACCCAAAACUAUGGAGGAUCUCCUUUUUCGAAUUAAUAUGCCUUGUUUUAGCCUUGGGCUAGAACAAUCUAUCUUUCUAGCAUGUAUCCUUACAAAAAUCUCGCUGAUAACGUGGACACUGGGAAAGGGGGCGUACUCAGACUGGCCUGGAGAAUAUAUAUAAUUCGUGUUCCGAUUGCCAUCGGCAUGAACACCGUAACUCUGGGUGUCACAAUUGUUAUAUCCACCUUCCUGUGAUGCCACCGGAUCAAACGCCGUUGACGCAGUGACAGAUUCGGUUUCCUGCGUCGCAGAAGGCGAUUGUCGAAUUGUUGAUAUCGGAGAAUCAUCUGAAAGAUGCCGAUUAUCAUCUUCACAUCUGGAAUAGAGAGGUUAACAGCCAUAUUAUGGAGAAGAAAACCACAGACCUUGCAAGAUAUGUCAAACUCACAUUCCGUGACGUGAGCAGCGCUGGCCACGAAAACAUCCCUGGAAUGCUGGCAGAAUGGGGUCGCAAGCAAGAGGCGGAUGCUCGAAAAUGAUAUUUGCGUGAACCGAGCAGACGAGAAGCAGAAGUAAUAGAGGUGCCAUCUUUGAGGGAGUGGGAGUGGUAUACAUGUCAGCUCAGGAGAUAUUGAUGGUUUCCAGAAUGAUAACCAAGGACCAGGGAUAUAUUGGGUAAAAAAAAAAAAAUAAAAUGAAGCAACCAGAACCAGCGUUUAGACCAAGUAUCGAGAUAGAGUUAUCAAGUUCCCAUUGACAGACUGCAAUGUCCUGGAAGGCAUCUAUGGCGAAUAGUGUCUUUUUUUUUUGGGGGGGGGGGGGAUAAAUACCCCGUCGUGUUGGGGUGAUAGAGA